rnacentral:rRNA from 1 species
AUUGAACGCUGGCGGCAGGCUUAACACAUGCAAGUCGAGCGGGGGAAGGUAGCUUGCUACCGGACCUAGCGGCGGACGGGUGAGUAAUGCUUAGGAAUCUGCCUAUUAGUGGGGGACAACAUCUCGAAAGGGAUGCUAAUACCGCAUACGUCCUACGGGAGAAAGCAGGGGAUCUUCGGACCUUGCGCUAAUAGAUGAGCCUAAGUCGGAUUAGCUAGUUGGUGGGGUAAAGGCCUACCAAGGCGACGAUCUGUAGCGGGUCUGAGAGGAUGAUCCGCCACACUGGGACUGAGACACGGCCCAGACUCCUACGGGAGGCGGCAGUGGGGAAUAUUGGACAAUGGGGGGAACCCUGAUCCAGCCAUGCCGCGUGUGUGAAGAAGGCCUUAUGGUUGUAAAGCACUUUAAGCGAGGAGGAGGCUACUUUAGUUAAUACCUAGAGAUAGUGGACGUUACUCGCAGAAUAAGCACCGGCUAACUCUGUGCCAGCAGCCGCGGUAAUACAGAGGGUGCGAGCGUUAAUCGGAUUUACUGGGCGUAAAGCGUGCGUAGGCGGCUUAUUAAGUCGGAUGUGAAAUCCCCGAGCUUAACUUGGGAAUUGCAUUCGAUACUGGUGAGCUAGAGUAUGGGAGAGGAUGGUAGAAUUCCAGGUGUAGCGGUGGAAUGCGUAGAGAUC